rnacentral:rRNA from 1 species
GAUGAACGCUGGCGGUAUGCUUAACACAUGCAAGUCGAACGGACUCUUCGGAGUUAGUGGCGGACGGGUGAUUAACGCCUGAGAAUCUGGCUUUGGGUUCCGGACCACCACUGGAAACGGUGGCUAAUACCAGAUGUGCCGAUAGGUAAAAGAGAAAUGGCCUGAAGAGUAGGGCGCGUCUGAUUAGCUCGUUUGGGAGUUAAAGGCCCACCAAGGUAGCGAUCAGUAGCUGGUGUGAGGGGCUGAGGAGACACAGUGAGCCUGAGACACGGCCCAGACUCCCAGGGGAGGGAGGUGUGGAGAAUUGUCCGAUAGGGGCGAAAGUCAGGCGGAGAAAUAGCGCGUGAGAGAAGAAGGCUCGGGGGGUGUAAACCUCUUGCCUUAGGGAAGAACAAAGUGACGGUAACUGAGGAAGCAGCAUCGGCUAACUACGUG